UAAAACGACUCUCGGCAACGGAUAUCUCGGCUCACGCAUCGAUGAAGAACGUAGCAAAAUGCGAUACUUGGUGUGAAUUGCAGAAUCCCGUGAACCAUCGAGUUUUUGAACGCAAGUUGCGCCCGAAGCCAUCCGGUCGAGGGCACGCCUGCCUGGGCGUCACGC
rnacentral:rRNA from 3 species